UGGGGAAUAUUGCACAAUGGGCGCAAGCCUGAUGCAGCCAUGCCGCGUGUAUGAAGAAGGCCUUCGGGUUGUAAAGUACUUUCAGCGGGGAGGAAGGGAGUAAAGUUAAUACCUUUGCUCAUUGACGUUACCCGCAGAAGAAGCACCGGCUAACUCCGUGCCAGCAGCCGCGGUAAUACGGAGGGUGCAAGCGUUAAUCGGAAUUACUGGGCGUAAAGCGCACGCAGGCGGUUUGUUAAGUCAGAUGUGAAAUCCCCGGGCUCAACCUGGGAAAUGCAUCUGAUACUGGCAAGCUUGAGUCUCGUAGAGGGGGGUAGAAUUCCAGGUGUAGCGGUGAAAUGCGUAGAGAUCUGGAGGAAUACCGGUGGCGAAGGCGGCCCCCUGGACAAAGACUGACGCUCAGGUGCGAAAGCGUGGGGAGCAAACAGG
rnacentral:rRNA from 1 species